UGUUAAAAUUUUCAUUCAUUUCUACUGUUAAAAAUUGGUUUGACUAACGGAAUAACCAGACAGUUACACGUGACGUGUCAAUGUACAAGGAUCAAUUUUUAAUGAUAGAAAUAGAUAUAAUUUUUAGCA
rfam:Gossypium hirsutum cultivar TM-1 chromosome 17, whole genome shotgun sequence